CGGUGAAAUGCAUAGAUAUCGGGAGGAACACCAGAGGCGAAGGCGGCCAACUGGCUUGGUACUGACGCUCAGGGACGAAAGCGUGGGUAGCAAACCGGAUUAGAUACCCGGGUAGUCCACGCCCUAAACGAUGGAUGCUAGGUAGGGGGAAUUUAAUUCUCCCUGCCGUAGUUAACGCAUUAAGCAUCCCGCCUGGGGAGUACGGUCGCAAGGCUGAGACUCAAAGGAAUUGGCGGGGGCCCGCACAAGCGGUGGAGCACGUGGUUUAAUUCGAUGCUAAGCGAAAAACCUUACCAAGACUUGACAUGUUAACUUAAGCCUAUACGAAAGUAUGUGGUGGUUCCGGGCUUGCCCGGAACAGUUAUCACAGGUGCUGCAUGGCUGUCGUCAGCUCGUGCCGUGAGGUGUCCGGUUAAGUCCGGUAACGAGCGCAACCCCUAUCUUUAGUUGCCAUCACUUCGGGUGGGCACUCUGAAGAGACUGCCAGCGACAAGCCGGAGGAAGGUGGGGACGACGUCAAGUCAUCAUGGCCCUUACGUCUUGGGCUACACACGUGCUACAAUGGCUAGUACAAUGGGUCGCAAACUCGCGAGAGUGAGCCAAUCCCAUCAAAGCUAGUCUCAGUUCAGAUUGCAGGCUGCAACUCGCCUGCAUGAAGUUGGAAUCGCUAGUAAUCGUGGAUCAGCAUUGCCACGGUGAAUACGUUCCCGGGCCUUGUACACACCGCCC
rnacentral:rRNA from 1 species